UACGAAGGGGGCUAGCGUUGUUCGGAAUUACUGGGCGUAAAGCGCACGUAGGCGGGUUGUUAAGUCAGGGGUGAAAUCCUGGAGCUCAACUCCAGAACUGCCUUUGAUACUGGCAACCUAGAGACUGGGAGAGGUUAGUGGAAUUCCCAGUGUAGAGGUGAAAUUCGUAGAUAUUGGGAAGAACACCAGUGGCGAAGGCGGCUAACUGGUCCAGCACUGACGCUGAGGUGCGAAAGCGUGGGGAGCAAACAGG
rnacentral:rRNA from 1 species